rnacentral:rRNA from 1 species
CAGUAGCCACGGGAAUACGAAGGGGGCUAGCGUUGCUCGGAAUGACUGGGCGUAAAGGGCGCGUAGGCGGCUGACACAGUCAGAUGUGAAAUUCCUGGGCUCAACCUGGGGACUGCAUUUGAGGCGUGUUGGCUUGAGUGGAGAAGAGGGUCGUGGAAUUUCCAGUGUAGAGGUGUAAUUCGUAGAUAUUGGAAAGAACACCGGUGGCGAAGGCGGCGACCUGGUCUUUAACUGACGCUGAGGCGCGAAAGCGUGGGGAGCAAACAGGAUUAGAUACCCCUGUAGUCCCUGUCUCUUAUAC